ensembl:lncRNA novel transcript
ACAGAUGGACCUCACAGUCUCGCAACUAACAUGGGAACCAGUAAUCUCAUGCCAGAGGAAGCACUCCUGAGGCAGAGGAGAUUUCAGGAGAGAACAGGUUGAACAUUAAUAAGGAGGAGCUUUGGCACUGGUCCAAGAAACAGGAUAAGCUAAAUCUCUGCAUCUAUUCUGGACACCAGAAUGGCGCGGGGACCAUUUAGAGGUGAGAUGGGCAGAUGAGGAGCUGAAGUUUCAGAGAGGUUAAGCAAUUUGCCUAGGUUCACACAGCAAAGAUGAUGAAACUUACAACCACAAGCAAUCCCCAGAAGCAGCCCUUUCACAGAGAGGAAGCUGAGGCUUAGAGGGUGUCAAUGGAUGAUCCAGUGCUGCAGAGCCAGAAGGGCCACCAUAACAAUGAAAUGGAGGCAGCAUACAUUGGUAAUGGAAAGAGCAUGGGAGUUUGGAAGUCAAAAGAGAUGGAUGUUUUCUGACCUUGAUAAGGACUCUGAAAAUGAUCCUUACAAGUAAACAGAAGAGACCACAAAUAACCAGUGACAGGUAAUGUGAUGAGACAUGGGAUCAAAGGACUGCGAUUGACUGCUUACCAGUUGGGUGACUUUGAGUGAGUGAUUCCAGCUCUCAUGUGCCCUGCAAAACUUACUAUUGUAUUUAUGAUGGGCACAAUAUGCACUACGUCACACACUGUGCCCUUCAGGAAAACCUGCUAGACAAAUUCCUCUAGGUUUCAGUGUCUAGGAUUCCUGAAAAUUUCCUGAAUGACAGUUCAAAAAAGUCUAACAAGCAGUUGAAAUCUGGUUGCUUCUGUGGGUUUCUUUUCUACCAUGGUAGGCAAGGAAUCUCAGGGCGAAAUCUGCAGCCCACUGUGAACAAGGGCAUGGCACCUCAUGGUAUCCACUGGGUAUCCAAACUCUCAGCUAGCUUUUUCAUACUUAGAGGUGAACUUUCCACUAGUUUCUUCUUAUUUUGCAUUUACCCCAAUUUCCUUAUUUGUUUUUAAACCUAUAGUUCGGCACACACGUCUUUAAGAUAUCUUAAAACCUUUGUGAAAUGAAGUAGAUGGCAAAUAAGUACAUUAAAUUAUUUUAAAAAUAGUUUGUCUCACUCUCAAGUUUCACAGGCAUACAACGGGAAUAGAGUAAUAGUAUCCUUCACAAUGUUGCUGGAAGAUGAAGUGACUGUGCGUGUAAGCGGCACUUUGUUGAGGGUAGAAUGCUAUGGGAGUAUUUGUGGUCGUAGUGUUUAAUCUCUCUUUGCUUCCCCCUUUCUUGUGUUCUCAGCUCAGGGAGGGAAAGUCAUUGAGCUUGUUAGGCAUCAAAGCUCUGUUCCUGCCAGGCAGCAAUAUGGGAAAAGAAGGGAACCAACCACAGAAAGUGAAGACUCGCCAUGUCUGCUCGGCAGCAGCCCUGCUGAUGGCCCCUUACCAAGCUGUGAUAGGGCACAGAGCCACCGCAACACAUGGGCUGGGGGACCGGAAGCCAGGUGACUGAGGCGGAACACCAGGCGGGACCACUCGGGCCAAGAAUUCCUGCCUAAAUGUUCCUAUGAUACUUCUCCCAGCUUGCAGGUGGACAUCCUAGCCAGCAACGAUCUCAUGUCUCAUUAGAGUGCAAGGGGGAGGAGGGAAAUCUGUGCAUGUUAAAUGUCCAGCCUUCCAUUGAGUUUGCAUGAACAUGGGUGAGUAUGUCACAAAUGUAUUGGCCAAAGGCAAUGGCUCAGGGGCAAUGUGAGGUGUGUUGCCAAUGGCCCCCAAAUACUCAGCAUUUCAGAGUGAGUGACAUCCCAGCAAGACAACAGAUGACACUCAUUGCUUUUGAGGCAUAUGUGACAAAUAUUGGAAGGCUUUCUAAGGUCAGAGGCGAAGGAAUGAAGAUAGGAGGGAAGAGGAUGAAAAGAAGGGAUGGAGAGAAAGAAUGAAGUAGAUGGAAAGAUCAGUAGAAACACCAAUCAAGACUGGCAAUGAGUACUCCAGUAAUCUUUUUCUAUCCACCUGUAGCUUGAAUCUUUUCAGGACGAAACAGAUUCUACAUAUUUUUCCUUCCAAUGCAGAGGAAGGCUGUUGUUUAACAGUGUUUUAAUUGGCCAAGGGUAAAUGCAACUCAAAGAAAGACCGAAGUGGACUUAAAAGAAGUAUCACUGUUUAUCAGCAGGAACCAACAUUUAUUGAGCAGUCAUUAUGCAUCCAUUAUGAAAAACCACUGGACACUUUACCCAUUAUCUCAUAGGUACAAUCAUCUCUUUUAAUGGAUGGAGAGGUUAAACACAGUGGGCUCUAAAACC